rnacentral:rRNA from 1 species
AGGAUGAACGCUAGCGGUAGGCUUAACACAUGCAAGUCGAGGGGUAACAUUCUAGUUUACUAGAGAUGACGACCGGCGCACGGGUGCGUAACGCGUAUGCAAUCUGCCUUAUACAGAAGGAUAGCCCCGAGAAAUUGGGAUUAACACUUCAUGGUAAUUAGAUGUGGCAUCACAUUUAAUUUAAAACUCCGGUGGUAUAAGAUGGGCAUGCGUAUGAUUAGCUAGAUGGUGAGGUAACGGCUCACCAUGGCGACGAUCAUUAGGGGUCCUGAGAGGGUGAUCCCCCACACUGGUACUGAGACACGGACCAGACUCCUACGGGAGGCAGCAGUGAGGAAUAUUGGGCAAUGGACGCAAGUCUGACCCAGCCAUACCGCGUGAAGGAAGAAUGCCCUAUGGGUUGUAAACUUCUUUUAUAUGGGAAGAAUAAGAGCUACGUGUAGCUUGAUGACUGUACCAUAUGAAUAAGCACCGGCUAACUCCGUGCCAGCAGCCGCGGUAAUACGGAGGGUGCAAGCGUUAUCCGGAUUUAUUGGGUUUAAAGGGUCCGUAGGCGGGCCAAUAAGUCAGUGGUGAAAUCCUAUCGCUUAACGAUAGAACUGCCAUUGAAACUGUUGGUCUUGAAUUAUUUUGAAGUUGGCGGAAUGAGUAGUGUAGCGGUGAAAUGCAUAGAUAUUACUCAGAACACCGAUUGCGAAGGCAGCUGACUAAGAAUAUAUUGACGCUGAUGGACGAAAGCGUAGGUAGCGAACAGGAUUAGAUACCCUGGUAGUCUACGCAGUAAACGAUGGAUACUAGUUGUCGGGGAAAUUGAGACUCGGUGGCUAAGCGAAAGUGAUAAGUAUCCCACCUGGGGAGUACGAUCGCAAGAUU